GACGAACGCUGGCGGCGUGCUUAACACAUGCGAGUCGAACGGAAAGGCCCUGCUUGCCGGGUACUCGAGUGGCGAACGGGUGAGUAACACGUGGGUGAUCUGCCCUGCACUUCGGGAUAAGCCUGGGAAACUGGGUCUAAUACCGGAUAGGAGCCAUUUUUAGUGUGAUGGUUGGAAAGUUUUUUCGGUGUAGGAUGAGCUCGCGGCCUAUCAGCUUGUUGGUGGGGUAAUGGCCUACCAAGGCGGCGACGGGUAGCCGGCCUGAGAGGGUGGACGGCCACAUUGGGACUGAGAUACGGCCCAGACUCCUACGGGAGGCAGCAGUGGGGAAUAUUGCACAAUGGGCGCAAGCCUGAUGCAGCGACGCCGCGUGGGGGAUGACGGCCUUCGGGUUGUAAACUCCUUUCGCUAGGGACGAAGCUUUUGUGACGGUACCUAGAUAAGAAGCACCGGCUAACUACGUG
rnacentral:rRNA from 1 species